GAGUCUAGCAUGUGCGCGAGUCAUUGGGACUCUAUACGAAACCUAAAGGCGCAAUGAAAGUGAAGGUCCGCCUCGCGCGGGCCGAGGGAGGAUGGACGGCCGUCUCCGGCCGUCCCGCACUCCCCGGGCGUCUCGUUCUCAUCGCGAGAAGAGGCGCACCGAGAGCGUACACGCUGGGACCCGAAAGAUGGUGAACUAUGCCUGGUCAGGACGAAGUCAGGGGAAACCCUGAUGGAGGUCCGUAGCGAUUCUGACGUGCAAAUCGAUCGUCGGAACUGGGUAUAGGGGCGAAAGACUAAUCGAACCAUCUAGUAGCUGGUUCCCUCCGAAGUUUCCCUCAGGAUAGCUGGCGCUCGCUUCUCGCGAGUCUCAUUCGGUAAAGCGAAUGAUUAGAGGCAUUGGGGUCGAAACGGCCUCAACCUAUUCUCAAACUUUAAAUGGGUGAGAUCUCCGGCUUGCUUGAACUGUGAAGCCGCGAGAUAUCGGAUCAGAGUGCCAAGUGGGCCACUUUUGGUAAGCAGAACUGGCGCUGUGGGAUGAACCAAACGCCGAGUUAAAGCGCCUAAAUCGACGCUUAUGGGAUACCAUGAAAGGCGUUGGUAACUUAAGACAGCAGGACGGUGGCCAUGGAAGUCGGA
rnacentral:rRNA from 1 species